rnacentral:rRNA from 1 species
GACGAACGCUGGCGGCGUGCCUAAUACAUGCAAGUCGAGCGGACGGAUGGGAGCUUGCUCCCAGACCGUCAGCGGCGGACGGGUGAGUAACACGUGGGCAACCUGCCUGUAAGACUGGGAUAACUCCGGGAAACCGGGGCUAAUACCGGAUAACUCUUUCCCUCACAUGAGGGAAAGCUGAAAGAUGGCAUCUCGCUAUCACUUACAGAUGGGCCCGCGGCGCAUUAGCUAGUUGGUGAGGUAACGGCUCACCAAGGCGACGAUGCGUAGCCGACCUGAGAGGGUGAUCGGCCACACUGGGACUGAGACGCGGCCCAGACUCCUACGGGAGGCAGCAGUAGGGAAUCUUCCGCAAUGGACGAAAGUCUGACGGAGCAACGCCGCGUGAGUGAUGAAGGUUUUCGGAUCGUAAAACUCUGUUGUCAGGGAAGAACAAGUACCGGAGUAACUGCCGGUACCUUGACGGUACCUGACCAGAAAGCCACGGCUAACUACGUG